UCUGAUAGGAACUGAGGACUCCCCAGACCCCCCUCAAAAACCCAUCAGAGGUUUAGGCCACACCCGUGGCUCUGCAGAGAGGUCUCUGCCUGGUUCUUAGCUACACCAGGCAUGCGCUUGUGGGCGGGGGUCUCUGCACCAUAGGACAGAGCCCUCUGUGAGCGCCGCCCGAUUCCCGGUUGGCCCUCUGCCCAGCGGGCCUCUGGCCUUUCGUCCUCUGUUCUGUAGCCACUGCCGCCCUGACUCGAGGCCUCAGCAGUUCUGCGGGGCCUUCCCUCCCUGACCGGGUUGUUGGCACUCAACGGGCCCAAGCUCCUAAAUUACUCCCUGCGGCUCAUGGAGAGGCACCGGGCUGUGAUUAGGGCUUCCCUGGUGGUACCGUGGAUAGGAAUCCCGUCUGCCAGUGCAGGGGACGUGGCUUUGAUCCCUGGUCCAGGAGGAUUCGACUUGCCUUGGAGCAACAGAGCCCGUGAGCCACAACUCCUGAGCCCGCAUGUUGCAACUAUUGAAGCCCAGGUGCCUGAAGCCACAGCGAUGAGAAGCCGCAACCAGAGAGUAGCUCCUGCUGACUGCAGCUAGAGAAAGCCCACGCACAGCCACAAAGGCCCAGCGCAACCAGAAAUAAAAAUAAAUUAUUUUAACACUGCUA